rnacentral:Y_RNA from 1 species
GGCUAGACUGAAUGCAGUGGUGUUUACAACUAAUUGAUCAUAACCAGUUACAGAUUCCUUCUCCACUCCCACUGCUUCACUUGACUAAUCCUAA